UCCCAUAGUCCUUAGGGCAGGAUCGCCUUCGUUUCCCAGAGGGCUGUGCGAUGUUCGCCCUCAGCGUCGUGGAAAAAAGGCAAACGAGAGGGGAUGUACUCUUUAACGUUGCUUUAUAACCAAGUUUCCCAUCCUUCGCUCUUCUAUCCCUCUUCUCUGUCUCCAAUGCCUCUUUUCUUUGGGCUUCAGGAGCCCAAAUACCCCGGGACUCGUCUCCUGGGCAACGUUACCGCUUCGUUGCCGCGCGACCACAAGCGGAGUGUGCUCGGAGCCUUCUGGGAAAUGUAGUUCGGCCUCCCCGGGGCCCCGGCCCAGACUAAUGGCUCUGCCUCCUCGGGCCCCAGAACCAACGGCUGGAUGUGCGGUCACGUGACCGGCCCGUCUGGAAGCCGGGGGAGUGGGGGCUGUUCUGCGCCAGGCCACCAGCAGGCCCAGGCCGCGGAAGGUCGCAGAGCCGGCGCCGGCCCGUCUCCGUGGUAACCGGCUCGCCGCAGAGGCCUCUGGGAAUUGUAGUUGGGCGGGGUGGGGCCCGCGCCGCUGCCGUUAGCGCUCGCCGCCGCGGUGAGAGCGGGCGCGGUAGCCGCAGCCCGGCCCGGCCUUCGGCGGCGAGGGUUCCCGGCGUCCGGGGCGGGCUCCUCCGCGGUACCGCGGCCACCGAGCAUCCCGGCAGAAAGUUUUUGAAAUAUAAAGAAGCAUUUCUCUGAAAUUUAACCCUCCCACAGUACAAGUGACCUUCCUUGGGGACUUUUCCAGCCAGGAAUGAUCACAGCCGCGAGGGGGUCUGUAUCCUUGGACCCCCAGGCCCCUCAAAAGCAGGACAGAAUUGUGGUGGUGAAGGUGGAGGCAGAGGGCCACUUUAUCCUCGCAGCCGGGAGCUGGCCCACGCGCGCUUCAGACGGUUCUACCACCAGGAGACCAGGAGAUUUGCCACCCGGUGAGGUUCUGCGAUGCCCCCAUGAGCUCUGCCACCAGGGGCUGAGGCUGGAGAGACAUCGCAAGCUGCCCAUCCUGGAGCUGCUGAUGCUGGAGCAGUUCCUGGCCAUCCUGCCCCCGGGGCUGCAGAGCUGGGGCUGGGAGCGCCCUGGGCCGUGGAGAGGAGCUGGCUAUGACGGACCGGAAGUUUCCUGGGGGCAGAGGGCAUCUCCACCACCGGCACAAGAACCACCACGCGUCGGCACAAGAACCACCACGCGUCGCCAGCUUCAGCCAGUGACACCCAGUUCAAACGCAGAUCUUGGGAGCUCCACCCCCUCCAAGCCAGUGCCUCAUUUUUCAUCGUGGUGUCACAUGCCGCCGUUCAUGUCAUGGGUCCCCUGUGAUCGGCAGGGGUUUUAUCUCCACAGCCACCUUUGCACAGCAAUAAUAUUUGGAUUCUCUCCGUCUGGGUUCCGAUGGUGACCUCAGGACUGAGGACGGCUUCAGCUCAGAUCAGGAACUUGCUGAAGGAAGGCCUCCCCAGUGACUCAAGCAGACUCCAGGGAAGCUCUGCAGGCGCCAGAGCUGGGAGGCCCGCAGAAUGUUCCAGGCCCUUGGGCUGCCUCAGGGAACCUCCCAGAGAGCAGGCUGAGCAGCCAUCCUGCCCAAGAGAGGAGUUUCAAGCAGGAGAGAGAAGAGACAAGCCAUGAAGGUGACAAGUGACAAGCCUGCAGGCCAGACUUAGAGGAAGCUCUCUGAGGAAGAACCGUGUCUUGUCCUUCAUAUGUCUGCGGCCCCUCUGAGCCUGAGAGACUCAGGACGGUCUGUGGCUUGGCCACUGUGUGCGGCUGCGGACCCUGCGAUUGAAGCAGACAGAUCUGUGGUUCAGGGCAGUCGUGGAUGGAGAUGCAGACGUAGUCUGCCUUCCCUGGACGGUUGUCGGUCCUUCUCUUCCAGGACACACGGAAGGAAGGUGAUCUUGUCCCUCCCGCCACCCCUUCCCCCGCCCCCCAGGCCGGUCGGCCAUGUUGGCCCUGAUACUCAAGGUUCUGGAUGCGUGGUCCCCCUGCCUCAGCUCUGCCUGGAGACGUUGCCAGCCCCCACGCUCUGUGCUAAUCCUGGGCGUGACCUUGGGGUGGAGGAGGCAGGGAGCAAGCAAGAAAGCAGUAUUGUUGCAGGGCCGUGUGGUUAAGUAUGGCUGGUUCAGAGAGCACCUUCAAUGUCAACUUGGAGCUCUUUGAGGGCACAGCCUAUGCCUGAGGCGUCUAUGUCCGCAUGCCUGGCUCAGCACCAGCACGUAGUAGGUACUCAUCUGGGGUGGAGCAGGAGUAUGCUUCUGUAGUCACCAGCAACCACGGGGGUCACGAGGGAGCGAAGAGAACAGAUGUUAGUGACUGGCCUGAAGUCCCGCCUGUGCCUCCCCGGCCCCUGAGGGGGACAGCAUCCCCUCGGUCUAUGGUGAAGUUCUGGGGUCCAAGCAAAAACGCAGAAAAGCCCCCUUGUCUUUUGUUAGCUGCAAAAUCUCCAUCUCCCCUCAAAAACGGGGACCGAUUCUGUGUAUGCAUUCAGUUUUCCGUAGCCUUGGAGCUCUCUAACUGUCUUUAAAAGCUAAUAGGUUAGAAAUGUUCUCGGUGGGAUGGUGAGAGCUGGUCCCUAAAGUUGGCAGUCCCCAUCAGAACUGCAUUUCCUAGGAACCCAGGGCUGCUUCUCAACAGCUGACCCUUGAACCUGGUGCAGUCAGGAGCGGGUCACUGAGCCUCAGGGAAGGAGAGUGAGGCGGGGCCCUUGCUGGCGGCCUCUUCGUCUGCUUUCCACAGGCCUCGGAGCUCACCCCGUCGUCUCUGGGCAGGAGGACAGCUGGCCCCCGGGUUUUUGUGCCCCGGCCUUGGUGGACCAUGGCUGGGAUGUCAUUUAUGGUGGGUCUCCAGAAUACCCUCUCAAAGCGCUCUCCUAAGACCAGAUUGAAUAGAAAUUAUGGAAACGGGUAGAGGAGAUCGAAAUGGAUCACCAAUUGGAGACUGUCGGGAGCAGGGGCCUGGAGGGACGGGUGGCUCUGAGCUCAGCGCCCCUAGGGAACUGGUGAAGGCUGCUCCUCAGAAGCUGUUCCAAAGGCUUCUGGGAAACUUGCUCGAGAAACUAGGUCAAGAAGGAAAGCCGUAAAGUGCUUCACGGUGUGUAAAUACACCCCCAUCCCCAUUGCCCCGUGCAGAGGACACCAGUAGAGUCCCCGUCCUGACCAGCCCAGCCAGCCUCUGUGCGCUGGCAAGCUGCUCUGCUCCCUGGGCCUCUGGCCCCGCUCACCGAGAGGCUAACACUGACCAGUGCAGCAACUAGGGGGCGUGUAGUGCUGGCUCUGCCGCGUGUUCCCCGAGCAGUAUCUCAUUUCAUCCUCCCAACAGCCCUGUGACACGGGAGGUUUCUCUCCUCAUGGUACAAAUGAGAAGGUAAGACUCAGAGAGGUUAAAUAACUUGCCCAAGGUCAUGCAGCUAACAAGUCGAGGGGCAAGCAUUCAAGUCCAGGUCUGACCCCCCAACGCCUUUCAAAGUCCUAGUUUGCCCGUGGCAGGACUUGUAAUUCCGUGCACCGGACUAACCAGUCCACUUUCCAUCCUAUUCACUGGCCAUAGUGAAAUGGUCCUGCUUCCACACUCUCUUCUUCAGCCUGUCAGGGCCGCAGAUGGUUUCUCAGAGGCCAGGAGCGGUCAGGACGGGGCGCUCCCAUCCCUAUUAAAGCCGUGUUCAUGAGGAACGUCAGGCUUUCUGCCGGCAGCCCCUGGAAUUUCUGCUGUGGGAAUUCGGGAGAUCCUCGAGUCAUGGCCCGCUCAAGAAUCGGUGGUUGUGUCUCAAUUCUGUAAGUCAGGUAUUCGGGCAGAGCAAGGCAGGAACAAUUUAGUUCUGCUCCGCCCUGUCUGAGCCUCAGCUGAAGUGGCCCCACUGACUGUAUUUGACUGGGGCGGUUUGACUGGCCAUAGGUCAGAGGCCUUGCUUCUGUCUGCCAGCUGGAUUCCUCCCCAGUUGUCCAUGAGGCGGUCACUGAAGUGGGGCUGAAAUGUCCAAAAUAGCUUUUGCUUUCAUGUCUCUGCUGCCUCUGCGUGCUCCCGUGAAGCCCCUCUCCACAGAGUAGCCUAAUCUUAUAUUGUUGCUCUGGGCUCCACAAACCCCCUAUCCAUGCUCUUCUCUCCUCUCCUCUGCACCUGUCCCAGCCCACAGCCCGUGUGUGGGGAGCUGUCUCGUUCAGCCGCCGUGGCCAUGGCUGUGUUGUACCACGCGACCCUGCUCUUUGCCCCUUCCCCCCCACCCCCACACCAGUCAUUGGACCAGGAUCCGUUACAGGCUGGCCAACGAUUUUGGAAGUCACCUGACUCGAAAAUACAAGGAAAAGCCAGUCAGACCAGCCAGAGUCCCUUUUGGGAAGUUUGAAUCAAAAAAUCAGAGAGGAUAGGCAGUGUGUGACAAGAUGUCACGAGGGCAAGUAGGGCCUGGCUGGACCAGUGUGCUGGCCAGGAUUAAAAGAAGAUUAAAUGAAGAAGAAAGUUAGAGGUUGAAGAAAAACAAAAACAAGCUCUGACUUGGAGAGGAUACCCUUACCGGGGAGGGACCAGUGAGCCUGAUUUUGGCAAGAGGAUAGAGGAGGGAAUGACGAGGGCAGAGCUGGGACUCUGUGAGAGGCAGAGAGGGCAGUCCGCCCGGGAGGCACCCUUGUGCCCCACAGCUCACUAGGUCCAGCCUCGCCUGUGUGUGUCAUUGCAGCAAGCUCUUUACUUUGGUGUCAGUUGGCUUGCUGGUGGGCAUGUGACUUCAUUCUGCCAAUAAAACUUAUGAAGGAAUGGCUGGGGGACCUUCUAGUAAGAAUUUUGCUUUUUGAUUAAAAGAGAGAGAGUGAAGAGGCCUGUCCGUUCUUCCUGCUUUGAACGUGGAUGUUUAAGGGCAUGAUACUUGGAGCUGCAGCAGCCAUUUUGAGACCAGGAGGCAACAAGACCAAGGGAAAAACCAACAUACCGAGGUUGGCUGAGCAGACAGACAAAAAGAGCCUGGGUCCUUGAUGGUAUUGUUGAGCCACUCCACCUGUCCUGGAACCCCUAUUUCCAUUCUUAUUGAUAUAUUCGUUAAAUGUCUUUAUUUUGCAAGCAGAUUUCUGCUACAUGCAGCCUAAGGCAGUCUUAACCAGUAUAGCACUCCUCUGACCUCUUCAUCCUCUAACUCUGAACAACUCCUUCGAGCCCCGUGGUUCUUGGUGUAGCUCCAAAUAGAAAGUCAGCCCAAGUUCAGACUUUGGAAAUCUUACUCAUAUGGUAGGAAAUAAAAGUCAAGAUUGCUCACAGCCGACAGAGCAAUUCUGGCACUUAGCCCUGACCCCUGGCCCCUACAGGACACAGACAAGGAAAGAAAGGUAGGUUAAGGAAAGUUCUAGAUGCAUGAGUCUUCUAAAAUGGGGCUUCAUGAUGAACUUUAGAAAGAAGAUCAGUUUGUGUAUUGGGCUCAAGGAUUAAUGUCUGAGAUGCAGAACGUAAGUACAGGCCAGAAAGCCAUGGAAAGCAUGCGGAAGGAGCCGCAGUGGCUGCCUGGAAUGGGCAGGUGGUGGGCGGGUUGGAUGACUCGUGCAGAAGGAGGCCAGUGAGCACAGCAGGAGUUUAUGAGCUCCAAGUACCAGCUGGAAGGAGUUUAUGGCAGCUAGAGUGAAACCGGUGGAAAAUGAGGCCUUUUAGUUACUCCCCAGCCAGCCUGAGUGACACUGUAGAUCCUUUUAGGAAUGAGGUGCCCUGAAUUGUGGCCGUCCUGUGUGUGGGCACGCCCACGCUCUUCGUUCUUUGUCUCUCUUCCACCACCCCCUUUUUUUUCUGCCAUUUCUUCCUGUCUUCUCGAAGCAAAGCCAGGAGCCAGGAUCCCUUCCACCUCAAUGGGAGAGUGGAUGUCGCGGGAGGCAAGGAUGUCUUGGGAAGACUGAAUCCUAGCCUGGGCAUGGCGGUUAGGUUGGAGGAGAGAACGCAGUCGGUUGACAAGGAGCAGAGGAAGCUUUCUUCUGACCCACCUUUCAUCAGGCAGUGUGGUUUUUGUGUUUCUUCAGCACAAAAAAAUGUACCUGAUCCUUCCCUCAUGAAAUGAGAAGUUGAACUCAAGAAUGCUAGCCCUCCCUCUUUCAGUUUCUAGCUUUAGAUACGUACCAGAGAUAAACUGGCAUCCUCCUCAGGUACCCCACAAAGACAGAUUACUCCAUUCCCUUCAGAACUCUGGAAAAGUCACCCACCCGGUUCCCAUCUCGAGAUAAUCUUCAGCGGUAUAGAGAUGGGGCCCGUAGAAGUUCAUCACAUUAAUGGGGCCCAAACAUGGAUGUGUUGCGAUGAUAUUAGAAUUUGCUGCCUCAGAUUCUGCCACUAAGCCUCAGGCCUCAGCACAGUCCUUAUGCGUAUCUUAUGGAUACAGAGCCCGCGUGUCUUCUGGAGUCCUGCCCCAGAGGUCAAGACCAGGCCAACCCUUUUACCUACUACAUUACUUAAUUCAUUCAGCAGAAAUGUACUGAAUGAAUACCUAGUAGAAGUAAAAGUUAAGCUUAUAAAAGCAGUGAUAAUAUUAGGAAGAUAAGUCAUUAAAGACCAAAAAAAUCCCGUGAGAUAAUCAGAGAAAGGAACGAACGCUUUGGUUGGGAUGGAGAAAGCAAAAAGUUGAAAUCCUUAGUUUGAUAGGAUUGAUGCUUUAAUGUGAAACUUAAUAAGCCCUAAGUCCCCCGUGAAGUUUCCCCCUAUAUCACUAAGGAUUCUCUGAAAUCCAGCAAGGAAGAAACUGAAGGCUUUUCCUCAUUCUUGACAAGCAAGCUUUUUCUCCAGUGUGAAUUAGCCUGAUUACUGACUAAAUAAUCGCCCGCAAUCUUGACAACACGAGAGUCUUUCUUUCCUGUGAGUCCUCCCAUGAUGAGAAAGAGCUACACCAGCCCCACGUGAUUUUCCACAGUGAUUAUGCUCCCAGGCUUCUCUCCAGGCUGGAUGACCCUCCACACUUCCUCUAGAUGAUUCUCCAGCUUCAUCACAAAUGACCGGCUGAGUCCGGAGCAAAUUAGCUGACGUUGUCUGCGGGUGGGACACUGACUGAAGGUUCCUUCUCACCCAUUGUGCUCACAGGGCUCCUCUCUGCUCUGAAAUCCCAGAUGUCUAAUUAGCUCUGAGCACCGUCUGAAAGCAUUUUUACAUCCAUUACGUGCAUAUGGUUUUUCUCCAGUGUGAAUUCUCUGACGUUGAAUGAGCUUUACUUUGCUGAAAGCCCUCACAUUUAUUGCAUUUGUAGAGUUCCUAUUGCAUGUGAAUUAGCUGCUGCCAUGUGGUGCUGGGAUGCUGGCAGAUGCCUCCCGCAAACGGGGAUUCUCUCCAAGAUGAAUGUUACAAUGUUCAGUAGGAUGGGAGCCCCGAGGAAAGCUGCCUGUAUUCAUAACAAAGAUGUUCUCUCCGAUAUGAAUACUGUAAUACUGAAUAAAUUCUCAAUUCUAAGA